GACGAACGCUGGCGGCGUGCUUGACACAUGCAAGUCGAACGGAAAGGCCUGCUUUCCCUUGUGGAUUGCGGGUACUCGAGUGGCGAACGGGUGAGUAACACGUGAGUGAUCUGCCCCCAACUUGGGUAUAAGCCUGGGAAACUGGGUCUAAUUCCCGAUAGGACUGCAGGGUGGUGCCUGUGGUGGAAAACGAUUUUCUAGUGGUUGGGGAUGAGCUCGCGGCCUAUCAGCUUGUUGGUGGGGCAAUGGCCUACCAAGGCGGCGACGGGUAGCCGGCCUGGGAGGGUGGACGGCCACAGUGGGACUGAGAUACGGCCCAGACUCCUACGGGAGGCAGCAGUGGGGAAUAGUGCACAAUGGGCGGAAGCCUGAUGCAGCGACGCCGCGUGGGGGAUGACGGCCUUCGGGUUGUAAACUCCUUUCGACCGCGAGGAAGCCACCUGGUUGGAAGGGUGGUGACGGUAGUGGUAGAAGAAGCACCGGCUAACUACGUG
rnacentral:rRNA from 1 species